rnacentral:misc_RNA from 1 species
UAAGUUACAUAACUAAAUAAAAGUUACAUAACUAAAUAAUUAUGGAGCUUGUUAUAAACAAUCAUAUACUCAAGAAAGAAAUCUGAUUGAAGAUAUUGAUAGCAAUGAUCGUAAGCUACUUGAAAAACGAACAAAUCUAAAACAACAAUUACUAAUAUAUGCACACACCAUCAUGAUAUGUUAGUUGUAAGAUAUGAGGGUAAUCAGAAAAGUUGCUGUAAUCCAUUUCUGAGUCACUAAAAGCAUCUCUAUGUGUGAUUACAAUGCAUACUGUGUUAGAAGCAGAAACCAUAGGUUUAAACCUUAUACCUGGAAAAACCUGUGUCCAACCUGUCGAAGUAAAGUUAUAUGUUUAUCAAAAAGUAUAAGUGAAAAUAAAAACGAUGAAGAUUUUGAUAUUGUUAAUGAAAGAUCCAUUCAAAAUAAAAAAGAAAGUGUAGAUACACACUUUGCAUCUGCCGGAGUAUCUCCAAUUAAGGUCAAAGGAUUGCACAAGUCAGGUAAAAUCAGAGAAGGUAAACGAAAAUUGACAGCAUUAACAACCUCCAUUAAAAAAAAGGUAGCCAUUUCCCUUAAUAUAUCAGAAGAAAGUUUUGAAGAACAGUCAAGUUUUAAUAAUGAGUAUAUGGAAAAAGCAAACUUGUUUGAUAACAUGAUGGUAUUGUUAACUAACAAAAUUGCAGAGUCUACAUCAACAUCAAAAAAAGUACAACUUGCGACAUUUGCUCUAACAGACUGGUCAAUAAAAAAGGUACCUGAAACAUUGCAUGUAACAAACUAUGUAGCUCGAACUGCACAUAAGUUAACAUUAGAAAAAGGUAUUUUAAGCAUGCCUAAUCCUAAAUUAGGAAAAGCUCUUCCUGAUGUAACAGUUCAACUGGUCAAGACCUUUUACGAAGAUGAUGAACAUAGUCGUAUAAUGCCUGGUAAAAAGGACUAUGUAAGCAUAAAGAAAAAUGUCCACAUGCAAAAACGUUUGCUCUUAUGUAAUUUAAAGGAAUUGUUUGUUACCUUUAAAACCAAGAACCCAGAAAUAAAAAUAGGAUUUUCAAGGUUUUGCAUCUUGCGACCUAAAUGGUGUAUUACUGUUGGUGCCUCAGGAACACAUUCUGUAUGCGUCUGUGCUAUUCAUCAGAAUUUGAAACUGCUUUUACAUCCUCUUGGUGUGACAUACAUAGAAUUGUUACCUUAUAUUGUCUGUGAUAUAACUAAUAAAGACUGUAUGAUGAGGAAAUGUGAAAAAUGCCCAGCAACUAUGAAUGCAUUGGUUGAAAAACUUUAUGAUAUACUUUGAGAUUUGAAGAUGAUGAUGAGAUUGAAUUUGAUCAAUGGACAAUAACAAAUAGGUCAAACUUGACACAUAAUAAAGAGCCAGUGUUUGAAUACAUUGAACUAGUAUGUAGAAAACUGGAAAAACCUGCACCACAAUCGUAUUUAGCAAAGAGUCAAGCAUUAUCCCUGAGAUCAAGAAAGAAAGAUAUGAAUGAGGUUUUGGUUUUACUGCUAAAUGGAACUUUUUUGCAACUAGUAAGCAACUUUGUGAUGGGAUAGGUGGUACAGUCAAACGUCUGGCAACACUAGCAAGUUUGCAAAGAGAUAUGGAUAAUCAUAUUUUAUCUCCACAAACAAUGUAUAAAUAUUACAAUGAAAACAUUGAAGGCAUAAAUUUCAUAUAUAUUUCAUCAGAAGAUUUAACUUUGGUAUAACUUUUAUUGAUAAACUCAAAUAGAUAUUAGAUUUUUGCAGAAUCGUUAUCAAAAAUAUUUGUAUUUUAUUUUAUUUCCUCUGCAUUUGCUAUCUAUGCAUUUCAUAAAACAUGUUUGAUAAGUAAAAGGAAACAAUUGCAUAUGUUACUAUUUUGUUUAGGUACCCAGUGGGCACACGACGUUAUUUUGACGUUGAUUUACAGUUGAUUUUUAGUCGUGACGUCGUAUAACCAAAAAUCAACAUUGUAUCAACGUUGAAAAAUUUGUU